rnacentral:lncRNA from 1 species
UUACAAGUACAAAGAAAGAGCUCCUAAGCUCCAAGCAUUGCAAAUAGUUCUAAAAUCAGAUUUCAGAAUUUAGGAUCCAAACGGUCGUUUCAGAUUUUGCCCACAAUUUAGAUUUUGACAAUCCAUUCAAAAUUCAGAUUUUCAAAAUCUAUAACUGGAUCCAAACGGGCCUAAGUGCAUUUUUUUCAGUUUUGGUUUUUAUUUUGUUUCUUCACUUCAGUAAGAACCCUCUUGGCAUCUGCAGAUAUAACACUAAGUAACCAGCCAUAGUAGACACUGGUUACCAC